rnacentral:tRNA from 1 species
UCAGGGCGUAGCCAAGCUAGAAGGGCGUCUCCCUUACACUGAGAAGGUAUCCGUGCAAGUCGGAUCGUCCUGAA